UAUAUCCGAAGAGGACGGGAGUUUAGUGGAAGAAGGGGAAAGGGGAUCUGAGGGAAGGGGAGGUGGGUCUCUCGAAACCCUUGGGAUGGGGUUGGUUUGGAAAACGUUCUCUCCUUUACGUUCCGAAGGAGCUUAGGGUUUGCAGCGUUUUCCAAUACCUCCCAUGCCAACAGUUUCGAGUCAUCCCUCCCUCUCCCUUGCUGCCUUUUUGUGUGUCUGUGACUUGAGAUAGCCUGUUUCUCUUUGUUAUUUGAGUCGAGGAGGACCUCUACCUUGCUGCCUUUUGGUGUGUCUGUGAGUUGAGAUGGCCUGUUUCUCUUUGUUAUUUGAGUCGAGGAGGAGGGAGUGGGUGAUGGGAGAGGAAGUUGUGGGUUCGUAAGAGCUGUGGGAAUGGGGGCAUCAGGAAAUCCUUCUCUUCUCUUGCCAUGUGCCGCGUGGGAAGAUGAGGUGUUUGGGUAUUUGCCGAUGCCUCCCAUUCCUACUGUUUUUAUGAGCUCCUUCCUCUCCCCUCCCACUGUUUUGAUUCUAUGUGGCGCUUUUUCUGGUUCUCUUAUCUGGCUGUGUGUCUUUCCUUCUGAUGUUUUUGUUUUUCGUGCAAUUUCGUUUGUGUGGUGUCUAUCUGAUUUUUUUGCAGGCUAUGGUGUUUUUUCUCCAGCUGACUUGUGCGUUAGUGUGGCAAAUUUGUGGAAUUGGAUUAUAAACGGGUAAUUGAAGCGUCUGCGUAUCUGCGGGAUUAUUGAGGUUUUUUGUUGGUUGCGUUGAUUUGAACGUAUGCAAGGAAAUAAUUUUUUGAAGGUUUGAUUGGGCUUUCGAACCUUUUCGCCCAGAAAAGUUGAUCUUUGGACUGCGUUUGGAAGUUAAUCUAGGAGUAUAUAACACGAGAAAAUUACUUGAAAAUAAAUGGAUUUGAAAACAUAAAAGCCGAUCCAUAUUUUUUUAUAGAAAUGUUGUGGUUGAGUAAAAGCCCUCCGAUUUUUUUUUUUGAAGCUCAGAGAAGUGAAAGCUACUUACAAAAAUUGUGUGUGUAUGAUGUAAAUGUGGUGUGAUAUUUAGGGAAGAAAAGAAUGGUAACGUUUUACUUGGGUGAGAUGUAAAAGAAGAGAGAGGUUCUAAUGUGCACAAGUUGGUUUUAUAUGCUAGUUCUUUGAUUCAAUGUUUUAUGCUGAACCCUAGUUCUUAAUGUUAAAGGGGUUUCUUUUUUUUUUGGUUUAAGCCAUGAGUUUCCAAAUAGAGAAGAGAGAUAGCGGGUCAUUACAUUUUAAGAAAAAGUGGUUUGGGUGGCACCAUCUAAAUGAGGUUGUGUUAGAUCUGUCUCCAUAAAACUUUUAGAGAAUUAGUACAGUAGAGUGGUCAAUUUUAUGGGACGAUGUUUUUCUAUGGACUUAGAUCGGUUCAUUGUAAUAAAUUUUUUGGAUAUUUAUGUAAAUAAAUCGAGAAAGAAUUUUUUUUAGAUGAUUCGUAAAUUCAUCUUUAUAAAUUUUUAGAGAAUUAUUGUGCCGUCUUUACUGCAGUAAAAUGUAUAAAAGGAGGUUGAGAUGUCUUAUUUAGGUAGUUGUAUUGGUUCAAAUUUAUGAUUUCUAUGGUUCCCAUGUCUUGAAUGAGUGUAGGCUAUGAGUAAGCUUUUGUUAGUUUGGUGGGAUCUAGCAAGAAUCCGUUGGAAUUUAACGUAAUUUUCUAGGGACUUUCUCGAUGGCUAGAUGCAAAUUUUAUAAAAAUUAUGAAUAUGGAUCGAUAUAACUAUUUAAAUGAGGUAGGUCCGGUUUGAAUCAAAAUGAUCGUUGCAGCGGAUUCAUCUGAAUCCUAUAAAAAGGAACAUCUAUUAAGAUUUUUAUAUUAUUAUUUUUAUGGGACUGGGAUCAAUUCAUUUUAAUGAUGUUUUAAAAAUUAGGGCGAAAAUCUUAUGGGAUUGGUUGUUUGACUAAUCCAAUCCGAUAGAUAAUAAGAAAUAUAAGCUUGUACUGGAAGUUGUUUGUGUUUGGGUUUGCCGAGGGCUUUUUUUGCUUUUUAUCGACGUGGGCCGCCCCAUUUUCAAAUUAUUUUUUAAUAUUUAUAAAUAUCCACUUUGUAGUCUUGCUAGUAGGUCUAAGUCAAUUGGCCAAUUUAAAGAAUUUUCAGCUCUUGGGUUCUUAAAAUUUUGAUGAAUUUGUCAGCUUUUCGCGGAGCAAAAUGCAUCACACAGGCAUUGCUUCGUUGAUUAUUUAAUUAUGUCAAAGAAAAUAUAUAACAAAAUAAUUAAUUAAUAAAUAUAUAAUAUUUAAUUAAAUUGAUAUCCGCUUAUAUUUUAAUUAAUAAUGUAAAUGAUUUUUAAUUAUAUGAAAAUUGUUAAUUAUGAUUAAAAACAGGAAGGGUUAUCAAUAUGGAGUCGGUGAUUACGAACGCCAAGAGGGAAUCGUCCUUUCGUGCCGCUUUCAGGGGUUUGUCGAGGCUUUAUCACCUAUUUUACCGCCGGUUGCUCACCACAAAGCGGAUGUGGAAUUGCUGAGGGUUAUAUAAAGUAUUUUUCUUUGAGGGCCCGUUUUUUUUUUUUUGUAGAUAAAAAAUUUACCCAUAAAAUUAUAUUUUUUUAGGUAAGUAUUUUUUAGAUAAUAUUUAGAUAAAAAAAUAAUUUAUCUAUAUUUUUUUAUACAUGAAAAAGUAUAUGGGAAAGUGACUUUGAAAUCUGUUAUUCAUGUUCUUUUGCAUUAUUAUUUUUUUGGGUAAGUUGUUAAAUUUUAUCCAUAUUUCUCAUAAUACUCUUUAUGCUUCUUGGAUCAAAUUUGAUGAUUUAUUUAUAAAGUUUAAUUUUUUUGUACCAAAUUUUAUCCAUAUUUCUCAUAAUAUUUUUUAUGCUUCUUGGAUCAAAUUUGAUGAUUUAUUUAUAAAGUUUAAUUUUUUUUUUAUCAAACUAAGCUAAGCUUUGGAAAGUUAUUAGGUAUGAAGAUGGUAAUGAUCAAAGAGAUAAUGAGAAGAAAAAAAGCUUUGAAAAAAAUAGUUUGAGUUAUUAGGCAUUAACGAUAGAGGUAUCGAAACGAGAAAAAAGAUAUUUUAGGAAUAAAAUUAAGAGAUCAUUUUAUCGGUUGAUGAGAAAAUCAUUUAGCCAUCUCUUAGAUGGGUAAAAUUUUCUUCCUAUUUCAUGGGUAAAUGUCACUCAUGGAAAAUAAUUUACCCAUCUUGAAAUCUGUGAGAAUAUGAGUAAGUUGGUCAAUAGAAAAAUUGAUCAAUUUUUUCAUGAUAUUUAUCCAUAAAAGAACGAAUUCUGAAGAAAAAAUUUUGUUCAAUCUAAGCAUCAUGGAAUAUCGAGUUGGGAUCCUGUAAAGUGCAUGCCUAGUUGCUAAUAGGUAAGAGGAUUAUUUAGAAAAAUGGAAUGCACUGCAAAGAGGGAUGAGCCAGGGGGCCAUGGUGGCCUUUUUUUCGAUGGCUUUGGGUUUUUGCAAGGUCAGGUUUGGGAUGUCAUUGAAUUUAUCGUUCCUCUUGGAGUGAGAGUAAGGUUAUGAUGAGGUGAGUUUGAUCAAAUCUUACAUCUGAUCAAGCUUGUUUUGAAAUUAAUUGUGAGCUUGAAAUUUGAGGGGGAGAUUGGUUUAUUUAUCAUGGCGUUAAUUGGGCCAAGUACCAGCUUUAUUGACUAGUUUGAAAAUAUUAAAUUAAACUGGAAAAUCACUUCAAAUUGGAACCAAACUCAGUUCAAGCUUGAGUUGAAGCUGGAUUCCUUUUUUGGAUGGGAAUGGGAAGUGAAAGCUUUCCCUCAGAUUUAGAGUUGAAGGUAGAUUCAAGCUUGGUUUACUUGUAAAUUCAAGUUUGAUUCCAAUCUAAAAUUGAUGUUUCAUAAAUUCGAAAAUAAAUAAACAUUCAAGCUCGAAACAACCUUCAUAUUAUGGACUAUUUGAUCAAAAGAUCUCGCAACCACCAUAUAAACUUACAUCUAUGUAUAGUUUUGAGUUUCAUUAAGCCGCGACUGAUCGAGGUAAAUCUUAUUUUGAUUCAGUUUGAAAUUAUAUUUGAACCUAGGUCAUCGAUAACCGCGGCUCCUGUAGCUUUGGAUUAGGAUGAAUUGAGUAUUUUCUCAGCUGAGAUGGCGCAAAUUCUUACGUCGAACGACCAUAUGAGAGAACGAGAUAGCCUUGUGCAAAAGCAAGCAAACCGCCGGGUGGGAGAAGUAUUCACGGUGUUUGGUGAUACGUUUUCAUAGAAUUUUUUGAAAUCUUUAUGUUUUUUAGAACAUCUUUAUUUUUCUCGGAUUGGACUGAAUCUUAACUAUUUAACUUCUUCUUUAACCCAGAAAUAAAAUUGGGCAUCCGUGUCUUUCCAUUGGUGCGCGAGCGCGACUCCGAUCUCCUUUCUUUGAGGCAUCUUACGGCGGCCUAGCUAUGGCCCAUGGUAGAACUCAAGCGGCUCUCGAUGAGUCAGAAUUUCAUUCGGAUCCAUUCGGAUCAAAUAUAUUGGUGUCUACUCACAUAUCUGCGGCUUAGGUUUCAACUCUGCUUUGGAGGCUCGCACCAUUUUCAAGAGCAUGAUUGGCCAGCAGUCCACCCAUAUGAUUGCUGACCUCAUCUUUUUGCUUAUCCGUAAGGACAAGAUCACUGGCGACUCCAUCCUCCUUAUCGACCAACUAGGCACCAUCAAGACCACCAUUGUCAUGGGCCUCGCCAAGUCUCUUGACCAGGAGAUUUUCUUUGCCACUGUCUUCGACUUCAAGCUUUUCUCUCUUAAGAUGUCUAAGAUCAAAACCCUCGUUUCGGCUUUUUGUCUGCUUUGCUUUUCAUCUUUGGAGCUUAUUCUUUCUUUUCUCUUUUCACUGCAACGGUGGAGCUCAAGAUGCUUUCAGAGAGCUCGGAUCUCACCCAAAUUGAGCAUUUCGGCGUCCACUCGUACAUCUACAAUCUGGGCUUUGACUUCGUCUUGGAGGUCUGCACCAUCUCCGAGAGCAUGAUCGGUCAGUAGUCCGGUUGUAAAACCAUUGGUCUCAUUCUCUAGCUCAUUUGUAAGGGCAAGAUCACAUAUCGUGCCAUCCUCCUUGUCAGCCAGUUCAACAUCGACAAGAUCGUAAUUGCCCCCUUCGCCACUAUCUCUAGCUCCAAGCUUUUCUCCCUCAAGAUAUUUAAGAUCAAAAUUCUCACC